AACGUAGGACGCAAGCGUUAUCCGGAGUUACUGGGCGUAAAGGGCAGGCAGGCGGGUCGAUAAGUCGGAUGUGAAAUCUCCCUGGCUUAACCGGGAGAGUGCAUUUGAGACUGUCAACCUGGAGGGCAGCAGAGGAGCGUGGAAUUCCGGGUGGAGUGGUGAAAUGCGUAGAGAUCCGGAGGAACACCAGUGGCGAAGGCGGGCAUCUGGGCUAACACUGACGCUGAGGCGCGAAAGCUAGGGGAGCAAACAGG
rnacentral:rRNA from 1 species